rnacentral:sRNA from 1 species
AAAAAAAUUAUAGCAAAACAAACUAAAUAUGUAUAAGUAAAAAUAAGAAAAAGAAAAAGUAAGUUUUGUCUUUAUUUGAUUACAUGACAAAACAAGAGAAGGUUAUAAAGGUCAUUUACAAAUUAGAGAAGAAAAAGAAAUGUGUCUAUUCUCCAUAUUUAUAAAAAAAACUACCUACUUUACAAAUUAUUUUUGUAAAAAGUAUCUACUUCACAAAAUAUCUCAAUCAUUUAAUCUGAUUUUAGACCGACAUUAUAAUCUUACCUUUCACACAACAAAUUCGUUCAUUUG